ACAGCCGCCGCGGUAAUACGUAGGUGGCAAGCGUUGUCCGGAAUUAUUGGGCGUAAAGCGCGCGCAGGCGGUCCUUUAAGUCUGAUGUGAAAGCCCACGGNUCAACCGUGGAGGGUCAUUGGAAACUGGGGGACUUGAGUACAGAAGAGAAGAGUGGAAUUCCACGUGUAGCGGUGAAAUGCGUAGAGAUGUGGAGGAACACCAGUGGCGAAGGCGACUCUUUGGUCUGUAACUGACGCUGAGGCGCGAAAGCGUGGGGAGCAAACAGGAUUAGAUACCCUGGUAG
rnacentral:rRNA from 1 species